rnacentral:lncRNA from 1 species
UCCUCUGCAGUGCCUGAUGGAAUUUCUCUGGCCCCGUCAGCCUGAGGAGAUAGCUCAACAAUCUGGGUGCUGGUUCACAGCAUUCCCCGCUGUGGUAAGAGCACGGAUUUAUAAGAGGUGCUCAAAUCCCCAAAGCACAGCACCCCGUCUCCCGAGCAGGUUCAGCUAAAGCGUCUGAGACAGGAGACCCCGAGUCUCAUUCUCCUCAAAUACGAGUGCGUCCCCACAAAGUUGGCUUGUGGCAAGGUGCCAACCCACCCGAUUUAACACCCUCUUCCUCCCGGAGGACGGACGCCUGUACAUGGCGA